rnacentral:lncRNA from 10 species
AUUUUUCUCAUGUAUUAGCAGGCCAAAUGGCCUUCACUUUGAACUUAUGAAAGGCACCUUUCUAUUUAAGGAAAUUCUAUAAAAGAAGCUUUGGCGAAUUGAUAAUAAUGACCAUCCACUGUGGAAGACAGCUGGCCUAUGAACUUCAUACACAUUAUCUUUUUUAAUUGUCACAAUAAUCCUGCAAGGUAGUUAUUAUUGUCCUCCUUUUGCAGUUAAGAGAACUGGAGACACAAAAAAGCUAAGUGAAUUAUGCAAAGCCACCCAGCUAGAAGUGACUUUCUUCAGAGGAAGUUCUUGGAAUUCCUGUGCCACCAUAAGAGUUACUCACCUGCUGGAUUUUUAUGAGAAGAUGUGACUUGGUCCUUGCCUUCCGCCAUGAAUGUGACGCCUCCCAGCCCUGUGGAACUAGCACAUUAAAUGUUAACACUGCGACUUGCAAGGACCCCCAGCUGGUGGAUCCCUGAGGACAAGGACAGAAGUUCACCAUGCACGGCCACUCUGCUUCAGGAAGAUGGCCAUGUGCAAGCUAGGAAGAAGACAGAACUCACCAGGGACUGAAGUGGCCAGUACUUUGAUCUUGGACUUCAAGCCUCCAGAUCUGUGAGAAAUAAAUUUUUGUUGUUUAAGCAACCCAGUCUGUGGUGUUUUGUUGCAGCAGCCGAAGUGAACUAAGACAAUACCCUAUGAGCUAAUACCAUUUUAGCAGUGAAGAAACUGAGGCUCAGGGAGCUUAGCAACUUUCUCAAAGUUUCUGUGUGCUAAGCUGUUUCCCUGCCCCUUUCUGUCUGAGGGGAAAUUGAAAUAUAAAGCAACAACCUGUUGCAGAAAUAUUUGAGUAAACAAACUUCAGAAAGAGUGUUAGAACCCAAACUAGCUUUCAAGUAGAAAAAUCAAGGUAUUCCUGGGUGCUGUUAGUGUGAAAAUACAGGAAAUGUCAUUGGACCCAUAGGUGGGAAUUAUGGGCAGGUCUCAUAGAACAGGCACCUAGAAGGUAGUCGGUAAUCAAGAAAACAUUUCUUUCCACGAGGCUGCACGAUCCCCCUCAUCUCUGUGUGUCUCUCAUCCUUUAUCGGCCUGCUUCCCUCUUCACCUGAUUCCUCUGCUUGUUCUUUUGGGGUGCAGCCCUACAAGGAACACCAACCUACAUUCUGCUUGUCUCCACUGAUCUGCUCUGUCUUUGAGUAUUUCCAGUUCUAGAAAUUGGUAGAAAGCCAGCUCAUAUGAGUGAGACCGCAUGUACCACAGGCGGCUGGCCAGCUACUUCUCUGGUUCCUUGUCAAAACUGUUGCAUACAUGUAGCUCAAUCUAUGAUCAUCUCUGCACAAACAAACAAACAAACAAACAAACAAAACCCAGCCCUGCACCCUUUCUGUGAAUGGGAAGCAAUGUACAGAACAUAUUAAGCCAAGAGGUAGGUAAGGCAGAAAAUUGAAAGAUGAUAUCUGUUAUUGAUUUGGUAUGAGUUAAAGGUACAUGGUUCUGUUUUAGAUAUUUUAUAAUAAUAAAAAUGAAAAAAGAGAAAGGAAUUGCCCCACAAUUACGUUUUCAAAAUAUGUUUAUUUUUUCCCCUAAUUUUUCUUGAGGUUAUUUAGAUAUUUCUUGACAAAUCUUCAUGGUAACAUAUGUGAAAGCAGACAUGUUUAUUUUCUUUGAUUUGGUGGAAUGAAUUAUCAAAAUUCUGGUUUUUAACAUUGUUAAAACUUCUGAGUAAAAAAUUUCUAACAAAUGAAGUGUUAAUACCAAAAAAAGAGUGUUAGCUAUGAGUGGUAUGUAAAUAAGUUGUCAAAUAUCAUCAAUAAUAAUUCUGAUCACCAUUUUCUUGGGUUUAUUAUAAUAAGACAAAUGUUGCUCCCAAAGAAACUGCUGAUUCUGGGGCAGGGACAAGAGCUCACCAAGAAAUCCAGCUACCAAAAUAUUUUGCCUGGUCACCCGGCCACAGGGGCUGAUGGCCAAAUCACAGACUUGAAACCUAAUGGCUGUGAGUGCACAUCAACGUGUUCAUCUGUCUGGUAUUAUUAUGUAGUUUUUGGAAAGCCGUGAUCUCUACGUCAGAUUGUUUUUUGCAAAAUAAGAAAUAAUACUGGGGUCUUGCCUCAAAAAAAGCAGUGAAGAUCAGCUCAUAGAAAUGUUUGAAAUCUAGGUAGUACUGCAGAUUUGUGGACGCUAGAGAAUGACUGUAAGAAGUGAUCUUAGGCGGGAAAAGCCCACUGUUAGGUCUUGGCUCAUGCUCCGCGUUGCCAAUUCCCAGCCUUGCAAUUUUGGACAGGUUAUUUAAUCUGUAAGUGUGCUUCCAUUUCAUCACAUAUAAAACAGAAAUAUGAAAACCUGCCUUUGAGCAUUUUCAUGGGGAUUAAAUGAGAUAAGUUCUGUCUGGCACAUACCAAUGCACAAAUAAGCUUAGCAAAUGUUUUUGUUUUUUAACUAGAUGAAGAUAAGUCUCUCCAGUGGUAUAUUUUUCUUUAGGAAAAAAAUAUCAGUACAUGCUUUUAACAUAAACCUGAAUCUAACUUCUAUAUAAUAAUGGACAAGAUAAGACUCCAGAAAUAUUUUAGAAUUUUCUUAGAUGAGCUCUCAAUCUGUGUUAAAACAGGUAAAACCUUUUACUAUAGACUGAGAAGGAAGAGAAAGGAAAAAAAAUGGCCUAUUUAAACAAUGAGGAAUAUAUAUAUAUAUAUUUGUCAGUAUCUUAAAGAGGCUUUUCUUAUACAAACAGGAGUAUUUGCUGGUCAGUGCCCAGAUUUUUUUUUCUUUUGAUGUACAUUAAAAAAAUUAAAAGAAAUAUUCUUAGAAAGACAUCUGUGCCUGGGGUGACUCACAUUUGAUCAAUCCCUGUGAACUGAGCUUUUCAGGGGAUGUGCAAUUAUUUGCUCAGUUAGGCUUAAACUUUUUAUUUAUCUAAUCACCCCUCUGUAAUGCUUUGAUCUGAACUUCCAAGGCCUAUUUUUCAACCACUUUAGCUACAUAUUUUAAGUCUUAUAGUCUAAUCAACCCUAGCCCAUAAAACAUGCAAUGUCCUGUUUAAUGCCUCCUAUUAGGAAAUCAGCUGCCACAUGGAUUUUGUAAUCUCCCACUUUGUGACUGGGUGAGCUGUUUGGAAGUGUCAUUAAUGUCAUUAUUCCAGGAGAGCGAGAGAGAGCCAGCAGCCAAGUGCAUCCCCUGUAUCCCAGCUGGCUUCUCCUUGCUAACGUUUGCCGAGUGACUCAGAGGUGAAUCAUCGGUUUCUGCAGGUGUAAGCUUGGGAGUCCUGGAAGUCUUCCACAUCCCAGUGGGGGCAAAUGUUUACCUCAUUAAUUCAUGGGAUUACUCAGUAGUUCCAGCCAACUUAAUUUGACUGUAUAAUAGUUAAAAAUAUGUGUGUGUAUGUGUGUGUGUGUGUGUGCAUAUUUACUUAUAGCCCAGGAGUGUGCUACAGCUUAGAAAUUUAAAGGUAAAACCUGUCAUUGAAUAAUUAGAAAAUGUUGUGUUUAUUUGAAACAUUUAGAAAAAAAAAUUCUAUGUAUGUCAUUUUACUGUAACAUAUACACUUGGUAAUGAUAUUUCUCACUUUUCUCUCUGUGCUUGGAUAUAUGUGAGGGACUGAGGUCCAUAACAGUUGGUGAAUUAGCCCACUCUAAUUCCUUUCCCAGCCUUGGGGCUUAUUUAGUUGAAUGUUGUCAGAAACCUUAGCCUUCAGAGACUUUUUUCUUUUCAAAGGACACUCAAUUUUUGGUUGUAAAAACAAAAAAGUAAAUAUAAAUAUAUUUCUUCACUUUAUUCAUCUCUGAACAAAUCUUGCUUUUACAUCUUAGUAGUGCCUAAUGAAGAUAACAACCAUCAACUAAAUUAGUAAGAUUUAAGAAUAUAAAAAUAUAGUUACAGCGCCAAUUUGCUGAAAAUUAAUGGUCAUUAAUCAAGACCUAUGAUGCAAUAGCUAAUAAUUGAUUUCCUCCUAUGUUCUAGCACAAUGUAAAAUGCUUUACAAAUACUAAUUUAUUUAAUUAUUAGAACACCCUACAACAUUGGUACUCUUAUUGUCUGCAUUUUACAGAUGAGAAACUCCAGGCAGAGAGAGGUUAGCCAGCUUGCCUAAGGUCACACACAGAUAAUACAUGAUGAAGCCGGCAUUUAAAUCCAGACAGUCUGACCUUAGAACCUGAAUUAUAAAACACUAUGUUAUUAUGGUCUAAUGACAAAUUUUUAAAAAACACAGAAGAAUCUAUGCAUGUAAAUGAAUCCAGUCCAUCUUAAAGUAGCCACCUAUGUAUGCUCUAUACUUAUUUCAAAUUUUGCUGUGGCUUAACACUUCCAGAACUCUCUCUUUUCUUUCAUUUCUAAAAAAAUUCUUGUGGAAACUAUGCCUUGUUGGUCUAAAUAUCACCAGUAAAAGCUUCACUCUUUGAAGUUGAAUUUGAUUUUGGAAAUAGUUGAAAGUGAUUCAAAACUCAGGUUGGUGAAGAGAGGAGGAAUCAAGUUUGGUAAGAUCACUAUAAGUUAAACUGUCUCUAAAUAUAAUUUUCAAGCAGGGAUUCUAGAAUUCCAAAAAUAUUUUGUGUAAUGGUAGCAUCAUUAAAAUAAAUGGAAAGCCUGCAAAGGUCAUUCUGAAGAGCGUUAGAAAGACAGAGAACAGUAGCAUAGAAGUUUCUGCUACAGUGAUUCAUCCUCUAAACAUAUGAAACCAUCCUAUUAGGUCACAAUUCAAUAGAUGCUAUUUGACUACCUGACCUGUUAGAAGCCCCUUUCAAUUCUUCUGUAUCCAAAUUUAUAUAGGGGACAUUAUCGGUCAAGACCCUGGUGAGAGAGUGACACAAAAUGGGUAAUUGAGGAGAGUUAAAUAAAGAAACAGUUUACAGGGUUAUAAGCAGGAUUUGUGGAAACCAAUAACAGAAAGUGCAAAUCCCUGGAUAGGCAGCAUGGAGGCACCAUCAUGCCCCUCAGCCUGAAGGGGCGCAAGGAGAGGAGCAGGGGCAAGAACCAGGGAGGGCUGCUGCUGUGAACAGGGCUGCAUGCAAGGGCCUGCAUUGGGGGAGGCAGCCAGCCCAUGUCAACCAAACGUAGGGGGGAGUCAGCUCAGAGCAAAUACCCCAUCUCACUCUCCUCCUGCCCUCUGAACUCCUGCUACUGCCCCACAGACCAAACCCAACCAGAACACACAGCAAAGAGCCAGCCUGUUGUCACAUGCCACAGAGAUUACCUUUUGGGAGCACACAGUGGGGUCAAGCCUGCCUUCUCUCUGGUUCUCACCUUUCCUAGAGGAGAGGAACUGACGCAUGGUAAAGACAUUUCAUAUACAAAUUUCAGUUACCCAACUGGCCUAGGAAAGGGAGGAGAGGAAGAAUCUGACAUUUAUUGACAGUUUUUACAUUUAGUGAGUACUUACUAUGUACCCAAUGUGCCAGGUGUUUUACUUAUGUUAAAAAUGAAGAUGCAUUAUGUGAAGAGAAUUUCACUUUACUUCUGUGGUUUCCCUCCCCUCACAAUUACAUUCUAAUUAUGAGAAAACAUCAGAUAAACCUUAUCUCUAUUGAGGGGCAUUCAAUAAAAUAUCUGAGCAGUAUUCCUCAAAACUGUUAAGGUCUUCAAAAAUAAAGAAUUCCGAGAAACUAUCACAACCAAUGGGAGCCUCAGGAGACAUGACCAACAAAUAUAAUAUGGUAUCCCUGAUGGGAUCCUGGAAAAGAAAACAGACAUUCGGUAAAAACUAUGGAAAUCUGGGCCGGGCGUGGUGGCUUACACCUGUAAUCCCAGCACUUUGGGGGGCCGAGGCAGGUGGAUCACCUGAGGUUUGGGAGUUCGAGGCCAGCCUGACCAACAUGGAGAAACCCCGUCUCUACUAAAAAUACAAAAUUAGCCUGGCGUGGUGGUGCAUGCCUGUAAUCCCAGCUACUCGGGAGGCUGGAGCAGAAGAAUCACUUGAACCGGGGAGGUGGGGGUUGUGGUGAGCCGAGAUCACACCAUUGCACUCUAGCCUGGGCAACAAGAGCGAACUCCAUCUCAAAAAGAAAAACAAAAAAACAAAACAAAACAAAAACUAUGGAAAUCUGAGUAAAGUGUGGGCUUUAGUUAAUAACAAUGUAUCAGUAUUGGUUGAUUAAUUGUGACAACUGUAUGUACUAAUGUAAGAUGUUAAUAAUGGUGUGGGGUGUAUGGAAACUCUCUUAUCUUUGCAAUAUUUCUGUAAAUCUAG